UGAUCACGAUCUUCAUCUUUCUUUUUUACAGAACAUCUAAAAAAAGUUGAAGAAUGAAGAAUUAUUCUCCAGAUUCUCAAAAAAAUCCCCUAAAUUUAACACGACAGUCUGUAAACAGAAGUUAGGAUGCUGGACGAGUCGUUUGAACUGUGGAAGUCUCCCCUAAAUCUGUUUGAGCUGACCUACUCACUGUUCCUGUGUCUGUACAGUGUCCUUGAGUGACCAGAACAGCACUUCAAAUGGAUGGAUUGUUACUAUUGUUUCUCAGCAGGAUGUUUGUCUUUGUUUCAUCUUUAGAUGAAGCUCAACUUAAUCCGUGUAGCACGUUGUGGUUGCAUUGUUUUUUUUCUCUCCACUCAUUACGUAUGAUUGGCUUUGAUGCUGUUGCUGAAUUUGCUCAAAAUCAUUUUCCUUCAAAAGCGUUUGAUCCGCUCUAAGAGGACUGUAUGCAUUCUGAGAUGGUUAAAAGCCCCAUGACAAGCAAAUAUGGUUAAAUUAGGAAUACUCUUUAAUCAGAACUGGAUUUUCAGGCAAAGAGCACAAAACAAAGAUCAACCUGGGAGUUACUGUCAGAAAGGAACAUUACGUGCAGCCCUGUUGCUAAGAUACCAUACCUGCAAUGGAUUUCAAUUCUGCUGGCCCUCAGCUUCUCAGAUGUUGGAGAGGAAGAGCAACACAUGAAACCCACAUUAUUAGAAAAAAGACUAUGUAGUUUUAAGGACUAUGUUGUUUCUGAGCAUUUGCAACUUGUUGGGCAAACUUUAAAAGACGUAUUUCUUACAGCAGGAAUCAAAGGGCUGGAUUACGUGGGUAGCCAUGCUCCUACCCUUGCUGAGUGGCACCUCUUGGUUCUUUCUGCCGGUAGUGAAAGAGGCUGGUGGUGUCAAGCUCUCCUGCAUAACGGAUGGCUUCUGCAAACAGCUUAACCACCUGUCAAACGGAAACAGAUUGCGUAAAACGUAAUCGUGUAAUUAAAAAAAAAAGUAAUGUAAAAAGUCAACCAACUUCCAUUGACUGACCUGGUAAUUGGUGAUGAGGGGAACUCCAUGAUCGACGGCCAUUCUGCGGAUGACGAAGUUGUCUUUCAGGUGUCGGGUGUUGUUAUUGGGCAAGUUGACCACAAGAUCGAUUUGACCCUCAUUGAUCAGUCUGUUAACACAGAGUGAGAGAUAAUAAACAAUAGAGUCACACUUUGCUUUAUUUUGAUACAGAUUUGAUAUUUUGGACAUUUUUAAUCAUCUUUCAAAGUUAUGGCAAAACAAAAAGUCCCUAAAGAAUUGGCAGCAGUUCCCAUUAAACUGUCCUGUCAAUGAAAGUGAAACAGGUCUAAAGACAGCCAGUUGUAUAUAGAAAGACAAAUACAAAAACACUACAAAAAACACUAGAUACACUUUUUUUU